rnacentral:rRNA from 1 species
UGCCAGCCGCCGCGGUAAUACGGAGGGUGCAAGCGUUGUUCGGAAUUACUGGGCGUAAAGCGCGCGUAGGCGGCUAUUUAAGUCAGAUGUGAAAGUCCACGGCUCAACCGUGGAAGUGCAUUUGAAACUGGGUAGCUUGAGUAUUGGAGGGGGUAGUGGAAUUCCCGGUGUAGAGGUGAAAUUCGUAGAUAUCGGGAGGAAUACCGGUGGCGAAGGCGACUACCUGGCCAAAUACUGACGCUGAGGAACGAAAGCAUGGGUAGCGAAGAGGAUUAGAUA